AACGAACGCUGGCGGCAUGCCUAACACAUGCAAGUCGAACGAGACCUUCGGGUCUAGUGGCGCACGGGUGCGUAACGCGUGGGAACCUGCCCUUAUGUUCGGAAUAACUCCCCGAAAGGGGUGCUAAUACCGGAUAAUGUCUUCGGACCAAAGAUUUAUCGCCUUUGGAUGGGCCCGCGUUGGAUUAGCUAGUUGGUAGGGUAAAAGCCUACCAAGGCGACGAUCCAUAGCUGGUCUGAGAGGAUGAUCAGCCACACUGGGACUGAGACACGGCCCAGACUACUACGGGAGGCAGCAGUGGGGAAUAUUGGAAAAUGGGCGAAAGCCUGAACCAGCAAUGCCGCGUGAGUGAUGAAGGCCUUAGGGUUGUAAAGCUCUUUUAACCGGGAUGAUAAUGACAGUACCGGGAGAAUAAGCUCCGGCUAACUCCGUG
rnacentral:rRNA from 1 species